CUCUGACCCUCCCCCGUUCAAGCUCUGUCUCUCUCUGUCCCCAAAAUAAAUAAACGUUAAAAGAAAAUGUUUAAAAAAAAUAAAGCACUAGCCUAGGAUCCGAAAGCUCAGGUUCUAGUUGCAUCUCUGGCACCAAUUAACUGCGUGGCUUUACCCAAGUCCCCUAACAUCGCUGGUCCUCUAUUUUCUUUUAGUACAAAUUGUUUGGAAGGAUACCCGGUCUGCCUGCCUCACAAGGUUGCUUUAAAAAAAAAAAAAAGGUAUUGCCAAACACAUACAAACUUACAACCAAACUUCCUUAUGUUUUCUUUGUUUUUGAGAAUCCAGGUGAAUUGGCUGUGAAAAUGUAGGGUGUUCAGCACCUGAUCAUCACCAGGAUGCAUAUCACCGGGGCACCCCAGCAGCUGCCGCGGUCCAGCAGGUCCACAUGUGCUAGCUGAGGAAGGCAACACCAAGAGAACGGCCCCGUAGGAACUUCAUUCUCCCCGCUAGGAAAGCUGGGCUCAAGGCCUCCAUGGAGGUGCGGCCAAGCCUUGGCCCCCAGAGCUUCCCCGAAUGCGGGUUUGCAGAGACUAAAUAAGAAGCCCACCCAGACUCGCACUAACCCCCAUCCCACUAGUUCCGGCCUCAGGAAGAGGAAGGGAUCGGAUCUGCAUAACAGUGAAUCACAAGCACUUCGUCACAAUGACCCCUCCAGGAGAGGGUGGAGAAGCUCGUCUGGCAACUGCCUACACAAACGGGGCAAUUCUGAAGAGCAGCAAACAAACCUGUCUACCCCAGUUCCCAUUGUGCAUGAGAUUGCGCUCCACAAAAACAACAUCCAAGGAACACCUGUUGAUCGAUACCAAACGUUAACACUCAGAUUUGGGCCAAGAGACAAUUAAAAAGGUCACUAUGAAGGAA